rnacentral:rRNA from 1 species
AUUGAACGCUGGCGGCAGGCCUAACACAUGCAAGUCGAGCGGAUGAAGGGAGCUUGCUCCUGGAUUCAGCGGCGGACGGGUGAGUAAUGCCUAGGAAUCUGCCUGGUAGUGGGGGAUAACGUCCGGAAACGGGCGCUAAUACCGCAUACGUCCUGAGGGAGAAAGUGGGGGAUCUUCGGACCUCACGCUAUCAGAUGAGCCUAGGUCGGAUUAGCUAGUUGGUGGGGUAAAGGCCUACCAAGGCGACGAUCCGUAACUGGUCUGAGAGGAUGAUCAGUCAUGCUGGGAGGGGGCAAGGGGCCAUAGUUGUAGGGGGGGCAGGAGAGGGGAAAGUGGACAAAGGGGGGAACGCGGUAUCCGGCGCGGGGGGGUGGGUGAGGAAGGUUGUCAAAAUGAAAGUACCAGAGGGUGGGGAGGAAGAACAGUAAGUGAAUCUCUUGCUGUUUUGACGUCACCAGAAGAAUAAGCCCCGGCUAACGUCUGGCCAGCAGCCGCGGAAAGAGACGAAGACCACCCGUCUGACA